GACGAACGCUGGCGGCGUGCCUAACACAUGCAAGUCGAACGGUCAAGCUACAGCUUGCUGGCGCGGACCAGUGGCGAACGGGUGAGUAACACGUGAGCAAAACGUCCCUGACUCUGGAAUAAGCGCUGGAAACGGCGGCUAAUACUGGAUACGAUAAGUGUCCGCAUGGGCUUCUAUUGGAAAGUUGUGCGGUUGGGGCUCGGAUCGCGGGCUACCCGCCUGUUGGUGAGGUAAUGGAUGACCAAGGCGACGAAGGGUACCCGGCAUGGGAGGGGGACCGGGCACACUAGGACUGAGAGAGGGCCCAGACGCCUACGGGAGGCAACGGUGGGAAAGAUUGCGCAAUGGGCGAGAGCCUGAUGCAGCGGCGCCGCGUGAGGGAUGACGGCCUUCGGGUGAAAAACCUCUGUCAGCGGGGAAGAAGCGAAAGUGACGGUACCUGCAGAAGAAGCAACGGCUAACUACGUG
rnacentral:rRNA from 1 species